AGGGCUUUAAGUUAAUUAAACUGCUAGUUUUCAAAGCUGGUAAUAUGACAAUAUAGUUAUUACGUUUUAAGUCUUG
rnacentral:tRNA from 1 species